rnacentral:piRNA from 1 species
UAACACCCAAAGUGCCGCCCAAGGAUAGA